rnacentral:rRNA from 1 species
GAGUUUGAUUCUGGCUCAGGAUGAACGCUGGCGGCGUGCCUAACACAUGCAAGUCGAGCGAGAAUCUUGGAAGUGGAGACUUCGGUCGAAGCGACCAAGAGGAAAGCGGCGGACGGGUGAGUAACGCGUGGGCAACCUGCCUCUUACUAGAGGAUAGCCACCGGAAACGGUGAUUAAUACUGUAUGAAGUGCAUUUAUCGCAUGAUAGAUGUCCCAAAGAUUUAUCGGUAAGAGAUGGGCCCGCGUCUGAUUAGCUAGUUGGUAAGGUAACGGCUUACCAAGGCGACGAUCAGUAGCCGACCUGAGAGGGUGAACGGCCACACUGGAACUGAGACACGGUCCAGACUCCUACGGGAGGCAGCAGUGGGGAAUAUUCGGCAAUGGGGGAAACCCUGACCGAGCAACGCCGCGUGAGUGAUUGAAGGUCUUCGGACUGUAAAACUCUGUUGAAUGGGAAGAUAA